AUUCCAGCUCCAAUAGCGUAUACUAAAGUUGUUGCAGUUAAAAAGCUCGUAGUUGAAUUUCUGGUCGUGGCGACCGGUCCGCCCCUCACGGGGUGUGCACCUGGUCUCUGCGUCCAUCCUCGGGGAGAGCGCGUCUGGCAUUCAGUUGUCGGGCGCGGGAUCCUCGUCAUUUACUGUGAGCAAAAUAGAGUGUUCAAAGCAGGCUUAGGCCGUUGAAUACAUUAGCAUGGAAUAAUAAGAUAGGACCUUGGUCUAUUUUGUUGGUUUGCAUUCCAAGGUAAUGAUUAAUAGGGAUAGUUGGGGGUGCUAGUAUUUUGCGGCCAGAGGUGAAAUUCUUGGAUUUGUUAAAGACGGACUACUGCGAAAGCAUUUGCCAAGGAUGUUUUCAUCA
rnacentral:rRNA from 1 species